rnacentral:misc_RNA from 1 species
GAAAUGCGAUAAGUAAUGUGAAUUGCAGAAUUCAGUGAAUCAUCGAAUCUUUGAACGCACCUUGCGCUUCUUGGUAUUCCUUGGAGCAUGCCUGUUUGAGUAUCAUGAAAUCUUCAAAGUAAAUCUUUUGUUGACUCAAUUGGUUUCUACUUUGGUAUUGGAGGUCUUUGCAGCUUCACACCUGCUCCUCUUUGUUCAUUAGCUGGAUCUCAGUGUUAUGCUUGGUUCCACUCGGCGUGAUAAGUUAUCUAUCGCUGAGGACACUGUAAAAGGUGGCCAAGGUAAAUGCAGAUGAACCGCUUCUAAUAGUCCAUUGACUUGGACAAUACUUUUAUGAUCUGAUCUCAAAUCAGGUAGGACUACCCGCUGAACUUAAGC